rnacentral:rRNA from 1 species
GACGUAGGGCGCGAGCGUUGUCCGGAUUUAUUGGGCGUAAAGAGCUCGUAGGCGGCUUGUCGCGUCGUCCGUGAAAACUUGGGGCUCAACCCCAAGCUUGCGGUCGAUACGGGCAGGCUAGAGUUCGGUAGGGGAGACUGGAAUUCCUGGUGUAGCGGUGAAAUGCGCAGAUAUCAGGAGGAACACCGGUGGCGAAGGCGGGUCUCUGGGCCGAUACUGACGCUGAGGAGCGAAAGCCAGGGGAGCAAACGGG